UACGAAGGGGGCUAGCGUUGCUCGGAAUUACUGGGCGUAAAGGGCGCGUAGGCGGACAGUUUAGUCAGAGGUAAAAGCCCAGGGCUCAACCUUGGAACUGCCUUUGAUACUGGCUGUCUUGAGUUCGGGAGAGGUGAGUGGAAUUCCCAGUGUAGCGGUGAAAUGCGUAGAUAUUGGGAGGAACACCAGUGGCGAAGGCGGCUCACUGGACCGGUACUGACGCUGAUGCGCGAAAGCGUGGGGAGCAAACGGG
rnacentral:rRNA from 1 species